ACUGGAGGAAGGUGGGGAUGACGUCAAAUCAUCAUGCCCCUUAUGACCUGGGCUACACACGUGCUACAAUGGAUGGUACAACGAGUUGCGAACUCGCGAGAGUAAGCUAAUCUCUUAAAGCCAUUCUCAGUUCGGAUUGUAGGCUGCAACUCGCCUACAUGAAGUCGGAAUCGCUAGUAAUCGCGGAUCAGCAUGCCGCGGUGAAUACGUUCCCGGGCCUUGUACACACCGCCCGUCACACCAUGAGAGUUUGUAACACCCAAAGUCGGUGGGGUAACCUGAUAGGAACCAGCCGCCUAAGGUGGACAGAGAGU
rnacentral:rRNA from 2 species